rnacentral:rRNA from 1 species
UUAAAUUGAAGAGUUUGAUCAUGGCUCAGAUUGAACGCUGGCGGCAGGCCUAACACAUGCAAGUCGAACGGUAACAGGAAACAGCUUGCUGUUUCGCUGACGAGUGGCGGACGGGUGAGUAAUGUCUGGGAAACUGCCUGAUGGAGGGGGAUAACUACUGGAAACGGUAGCUAAUACCGCAUAACGUCGCAAGACCAAAGAGGGG